rnacentral:sRNA from 1 species
UUAAAAAAAAUAAAGUUGGGUUUCACUUUCAAAAAAAAAAAACAAAACGGUUUAGAGGUUAACCAGCCUAAAGGGUGUUGACUUUGGAAAUGGCUCCUACUUAGUGGUCCUACCCCAACAAAGGUAUGCCAAACCCCUGCUAGCUCUGUGUAGAAGAGAGACCUCAACUAAGAGAGACCAUCCUUGGUCUGGCUUGGAGGCAGGUCCUGCUAGGAAGAGCCAGGCUCAAAGCAUAGCAGUAGCUGCCCCUGAGGCUCCUUGCUCCUCCCUUCCUUAGGUAUCUCCAAGGAGGCUCCACAGGUGAGUGGGCUCACAGACCAUGCAAAGUGAAAUCAGGAAGGGAGGAAAGAAAGGGAGGGCUACCAGCUGUCACGUGCUGGGACAGGGUGUGUGUGACUCUUCAAGCCAUCUGGGCUCCAAGGCCCUCUCCUCUGCAUCUUUCUCAGCUACUGGGUAGCAGCUGUCAGGUACAUUCCUGGGUGCUGGGCUCUCACCCUGUGAGGUCCUGGACUGAGAAGGCUGAAUGUGAUUUUCUUUUAGGAAUCUAACUAAGCUAGAAAGAGCAAAAUGACCCACGGUGGCCCCUGGCAGCUUCUGAGAUAUACAAACCUGAUUAAGAAAACUUGCCAAAAAUGGAGACAGAAGCAGGAGUUAAGAGGAAAGGUGGGUUUCGUUUGUUUUGAGGGGCAGGGAAGCCUCAAAAACCCUCCAAGAUAAUGGAGGUGUCUUGGACAUACCAUCUGAGAAGUCUAAAUGUCUGGGGAACUGGGGAAGAAAGAGUUCCCACAGGACUGAGAAGCCCAUCUCUGCCAGACCCGGUCUAUGGGUUGCAGAGAGACCUUGGUGACUGAUGUGUGUGACUGCAGGAGGAUGAAGACUGGGCCUUUAAGGUUGAUGUCACAUGCCUGUCUUAGUUUCUCUCCAUCUUAUUAUACGAGAUGGUGUCUCACUGACCUAGGGCUUGGCUGACUGGUCAGACUGUGGGGCCAGGGCUGGCAUCUCUGUGUUUCUACCUCCCGGUGCUGGGACCACAGGCACGUGCCACUGCAUCUGGCAUGUGUAUGUGAACCUGGGUGCCGCAGAUCUGAACUCAUUUCCUCAUGCUUGUACAGCAAGCACUUUACCUGUGGAAUAAGAUUUGAAAGUCCUGUAGACUCGUAGGGAGAAUAAAAAAGAAAACACAGUUAGAGCCAGGGCUUUCUGCAAAUGGGAGAGUCUUGGCUGAAAAACAUCAACGCUUAGCACUGCCUGUUAUCAGGUUACUGGAAGGCAAGAAUGUAGGGAGAAUUGAAUCCAUCUGUCUUAGUCAGCUCGAGCUGCUGUUACAAAUACUAUUGGCUGGACCGCUUACAAACAACGAGACAUUUAUUAUAGUUCUGGAGGGAGGAAGUCUGAGAUCAGGUACUAGCACGAUCUCCUGUAAGGGCUCUACCCACAACGACCUCUCAGAAGACCCCACCUCCAAAAGCUGUUACCCUGGGUCUAAAGAUACAACACAGGUUUUGGGGGUAACACAUUUAGCCCAUAUCACCAUUUCUAGAAUUAGUUUGACACCACUAGUUAGAUUUCUAAGCUUUGUCCUUAGCUUUAUUUUUAUGUGUAUGAGUUUUGCCUUCAUAUAUGUGUAUCACAUGCGUGUCUGGUGUCCUCAGAGGUUAGAAGAGAGAGUUGGGUACCCUGAAAUUGGAGUUACAGUUGGUUGUGACGUACCAUGUGGGCAUUGGGAAUUGAAACUGGGUCCUCUGCAAGAACAAGUACUCUCAGUUGUUGAGCCAUCUCCAGCCCAGGCUUCCACUUUUUUCUUUUUAUGAUUUAUUCUUCAUGUGUAUGAAUACUUUUCUCCAUUUGUUUGCCACAUGUGUGUUGCUACCCAUGGAGGCCAGAAGAGGGAGUUGGAUCGAUCUCUUGGAGCUGGAUUAAAGGCAAUUGUGAAGAUACGUGGUGUGGGUACUGGGAGCCAAACCUGGGUCCUCUCUAAAGCAGUACGUCCUCUUCACCAACUACUGAGUGUCUCUGGAGCCCCAGGUUUCUGUGUUGUUGUUUUUUUUAACUUUUAAAGAUGUUUGUGAAUAUAAUUACAACAUUUCUUCCUCCCUCUUCCUUCCUCCAAACCAUUCCAUACACCUCUCCCCACUCUACUUCAAAUUCAUGGUCUCUCCUUUGUUUUUGCAAGUGUAUGUGUAUGUAUAUACAUGUAUAUUCCCAACUUGAACCUGUUCAGUCCCUAAACCUCGUAUGUACAUAUUCAGGUGUUAUUUUUAAACAGUGUAGAAGUUUGAUGACAGUCAAGUGACUAUUUGAAAAUGUGAUACAAGAUGAUUUUAGAAGGACUUAAUGUGCCUACUUGACUAGUUUGCCAAAUAAGAGGUUCUCAAUCUGGGGGUCUCGACCCCCUUUACAGGGGUCGCCUAGGGAAGAAAACAUUUCUGAUGGUCUUAGGAACUGAGACACUGCUUCCUGUCUCCAGGUGUGUCUUCCCACAUGUAGGCAUAUCUACAGACUCAGACCUGGAGUGAUGGCCUCAUAGCACCAACCUCAUCAAUACAUGUGAAUUAUAAUUUAUUCUAGCUGUGCUAGGACAGCGAUCUGGAUUUCAAUGUCUGGGACUGGAUGAGUCACUGAAAGUCAUUGGAACUCAACCAUAUGAUUCAUCAGCAAAUGUUAGCAAUGGAGACACUGCCACAAGAUUUACAAGAAGUAGUGAAAAGCAUCCUGAGUGCUGUCAGUGUUUUACAGGGGAGCACUUUAGACAGUUGGCUGUUUUCACAACUGGGCAAUGAGUCGGUCGUGACAAAGCUCUGCUGUUUCAUGCUGGAGGGAGGUGAUUGUGGAGAGGCAAGUUUUAAAAAGUGUUUUUGAACUUCAUGAUGAACUCAAAAUGUUUUAAAGCAGGAAACAAGGUUGAAGAUCAACACCCCUUUUUGGUGAACUGUGAAUUGCACAACUUCAAUAAAUUGUCAAUUAAAAGUGAAUUGUAGAAAGUAGCUUUACCUGGGUUGAUGCUUUUCCCAUCUUGAAUGAGUUAAAUAUCAAGGCAAGGACCAAAAGCAACAUGCCUCUGAAAAGAUCCGAUCAUUUCAAAUGGAGCUUCCGCUUUGGAAAAAAAAUUAGUCGAAAAUAAAAUUUACAUGUUGCCUACUUCUUCUGCUUUCUUUGAGGAACAUGACAUUGAACCAGACAAAAGGAUUAUGAUGAUAAGAACACUUGCACAUGACUUCAGACAGAAUUUCUUUGACCCAAAUCUACCUGACACCCCAUUUGCACUUAACCAGAAGCCCACUCACUGUCAUCGCUGAAGAUGCUCCCGAGACAGCAGAGGAGGAGUUGAGCAACGGCGAUGUGGCUGAGAACGGUUUUCUCUCUGAUGCCAGUGACACAAUUCUGGACCAAGUGUUUGCAGUCCCCAUGCUAUUGACUGUGCUGCACAAUCUUCGUCCGUUUCCAACAACGUAUCUUUGUGAAAUAGGCCUUUCCAACUCAUUGUCAGGUCUAAAUACAGAAGCAGACUUGUUGUGGGAGAUGCUCUUGUUGUGGGAGACUGCCCUGAGAAUUUAUGUGGUGAGAAAGAAGCAAUCUCCACCUUUAUACUGAUGUUGGCCUUUUAUGCAUACUGUUGCAAAGUGUAGCAAUGUACCUUACUGUUAAGACUGUUACCCAUGCCACACAAUGCUUCAAGACAAAAAUUCCACUUAUUUGUAAUUAGAAGUAAACAGUUUACAAUAUAUAAUUACAUAUUGCUUUGGAAUUAAUCACGAUGCUUUAAUUAUGUUCAAUUUGCAAUAACAAAAAUACAUCCUGCGCAUCAGAUAUUUACAUUAGGAUUCAUAACUGUAGCCAAAUUACAGUUAUGAAGUAGCAAGGAAAAUAAUUUUAUGAUUGGGGGUCGUCACAACGUGAGGGACUGACUGUAAUAAAGGGUCGCAGCAUUAGGAAGGUUGAGAACUACUGUCCUAAAUGGGCUUCUACAUGACUUUUAAAGGUCAGCCAUAUGACUAUCAGUAUUAACCAGUACUGCAUUAAAUCUAUGAAUUUGCUUUAAAAGAGUGGCGUUGGGGCCUAUGUUUUUGAAUGUUGCGUCAAAUGGGUGGUGUCGUACGUACUGUGGGGGCAGGUGCACUGCUGAGGUUUGAGAAUUGUGGGUUUAAGUGUGAACGUAGCCUGGUUCUUUGACCUCAGUUUCCUCAUUUGUAAACAAGUUUUACUUUUGAUUUGCAAACGAAGCUAUUGAAAACAACGUUGUAAUGCCGUCGGAUGCAGAUGGAGUUCGUAGAUAAUACAUAGAGCGGUUUCUGGCAUACACUGAGUACUCAUGUGCUGGCCAGGAUUCUAUCUUAUUUCUGUCCUUUAAAACAUGGUGUCAUUAGCAGAGGGUCUUACCAUCAUGUUCUGGUGGGGAGGGGUGUCACCAAGAGCAAUGGAAAGUACUCUGUGUUGUUUUUUAGUGGGGGCUUCUAUGGGAUUCCUCUGGCCAACAUCUGGAAAAGAUGUAUCCCGUAUCUGGUGUCCAGCUUUUUAUUGGAUAGCCUAUGGUGUCUGAAAGGGGUGUUGCCCCCUUCCAACUUAACUUCAUUUCAGUUCUUUAUAUAUAGGUAUGUAUGUGUAUAUAAUGUUUAUUUUUAGGUAGCUUCUAUAGUAGUAGGCUUCCGUAUGACUUUCUCAAAACUCUUUAGUGUUAAUUCCCCUUUCCCAUGCUGCCUCAUCCUCUAUUCUGUUUUCUGUCCAUCAGUACAAGCAGAUAUUCCCGCUCCAUUCCUCCUUGAUGCCACCUGUGCUCUCUGCCCUUCUCCCUAAGGGCUCUCCUAUCCCAUGGCUCCCGCCAUUUUCAAAAUGUAGUUAAUACAGAUGUUGUUAUAUAUGUUUAUUUAAAAUUCAGCUUUUCUGUUCUGAAAGUACAUCCAGGAACAUAAUGAUCUGUGUUGGGGAUGGAUGCUUAUGGGAAGAUGUUAAAAGAGAGCACAAGGGGAUGGAACCCUCUGGGGUCUUUGACCUGUACCAGGCACCCAUCCCUUUCUCUCCCCUUUCCAAUGGGAUGGGCUCAGCAAGUGCUUGAUAUGUUAGGACAUUUGCCAAGUUAAUUGUGGUUAUUUCUAGGUGCAGAGCCUGUGAAACAUGACUCAAAAGGAUCCAUAGUAGAGAGUCCAUGGUAUCUUUUCUGCUGGUACUCUAGUUUUCUCCUGAGCCAGGAAAGUGAUAUUAAAAGACAGAAAUUAGAACAAAUUUCUAAUGUAUGUAUAUAAGUAUGAUAUACCACAGGGAAACCCACUACUUUGUCUUCUGGCCUCCAAAUGAAGAAAAAUAAAAUUAAAUAAAACAA